CGGCUGGAAGAGCACCGCA
rnacentral:snRNA from 1 species